AUCUUCUCUGCCACGUGUUCUGUGUUUUUUGUUAUAAAAUAUUUCACACCCCAAAUAAUUUAAUAUGUAAGAGAUAAAGAAGCCGGUAAAUAUCACAUAUAAAUCACCUAGCUUGAGAAAUAGAACCUGACCAAUCUUUUAGAAGACCCCAUGUACGCUUCUAUUUAAUACCCUAAACUGAAAACUGAACACAACACCUUCACCUCACAUGUCAUUGGCCAAAGUCGCACCACAUGCCCAUCCCUAAACUAUUAUUUGAGGGUAACAGAGCCAUCCGAUUGCUCAGAUAAGUGAUCUCAGAACUUUGUGGUCUCAGGACUCCUUUACAUUCUUAAAAAUUACUGAGGACCCAAAGAGCCUUCGUUUAUAUGGGUUACAUCUAGUGAUAAUACCAUAUUAGAAACUGAGAAAAUUUAAAAAUAUUUAAUUCAUUUACAAAUUACAAUAAUAAAUCCAAUACAUGUUAGUACACACACACACACACACUUUUUAAGAAAAACACAUUUUCUAAAACAAAAAUAAUUAGUGAGAAGAGCCACUCUGUUGUACAUUUUUGCAAAUCUCUGUCUGGCUUAACAGAAGAGAGCUGGAUUCUCCUAUCUGCCUCUGCAUUCCGGUCUAUUCUAAUGCUGUUGUCAGUAUAUGACAAAAAUUUGGCCUCACAGGGAUACGUAGUUGGAAAUAAGGGGAGUAUUUUGAUAGCCUUUUCAGAUAAUUGUGGAUACUCUUCUCUGAUCCUACACCAGAACUCAACAAAUGAUAGCUUCUUAAAGGUCAGAAGCAAUGUGGGAUCUAAAACUACAUCAAUGAAUGUUUCCUACUCUGUUACAUUAAAAAUCCAUGGGGCUAUCUUGCAAUUAGAAUAGAUUUUUUAUCUGUGCAUCAUGGCAUUGUAACAUCACACAGUCAUUUGGAAAAUAUUGGUUCACUAAGUGUAGUGUUAUUGAAACAUGUCCACGUAUUCUUCGGUACUCUUCCCUUUAAGAGGUGGAGCUUAAUUUCCCUCUCUUUGAGUGUGGCCUGUACAUGUGACUCACUCUAAUGAAUAGAACGUGGUGGAAAUUACAGAGCAUGACUUCUGAGGGUAGAUCAUAAAAGACACUGAGGCUUCUAUCUUGCUCCCUCUCUCUGAUCACUUGCUCUGGGAGAAGCUGGCUGCCAAGCUGUGCGCAUCGUCAAAGCCCCGUGGAGAGGUCCAGUCAAGCCUUCAGAUGGCCGCAGCCUCAACAGAUG
rnacentral:lncRNA from 1 species